AGAUUUAUUGCCUGAAGAUGAGCUCGCGUCUGAUUAGCUAGUUGGUGUGGUAAGAGCGCACCUAGGCGACGAUCAGUAGCUGGUCUGAGAGGACGAUCAGCCACACUGGGACUGAGACACGGCCCAGACUCCUACGGGAGGCAGCAGUGGGGAAUUUUCCGCAAUGGGCGAAAGCCUGACGGAGCAAUACCGCGUGAGGGAGGAAGGCUCUUGGGUUGUAAACCUCUUUUCUCAGGGAAUAAAAAAAUGACGGUACCUGAGGAAUAAGCAUCGGCUAACUCCGUGCCAACACCCGCGGUAAUACGGAGGAUGCAAGCGUUAUCCGGAAUGAUUGGGCGUAAAGCGUCCGCAGGGGGCUAUGAAAGUCUGCUGUUAAAGAGUGGGGCUCACCCUCUUAAAAGCAGUGGAAACUACAUACUAGAGUACUUUCGGGGCAAAAGGAAUUUCUGGUGUAGCGGUGAAAUGCGUAAAGAUCAGGAAAAAACCCCGGUGGCCAAAGCGCUCUGCUAGGCCUGUACUGACACUGACGGACGAAAGCUAGGGGAGCGAAUGGGAUUAUAUACCCC
rnacentral:rRNA from 1 species